rnacentral:rRNA from 1 species
UACGAAGGGGGCUAGCGUUGCUCGGAAUCACUGGGCGUAAAGGGUGCGUAGGCGGGUCUUUAAGUCAGGGGUGAAAUCCUGGAGCUCAACUCCAGAACUGCCUUUGAUACUGAAGAUCUUGAGUUCGGGAGAGGUGAGUGGAACUGCGAGUGUAGAGGUGAAAUUCGUAGAUAUUCGCAAGAACACCAGUGGCGAAGGCGGCUCACUGGCCCAAUACUGACGCUGAGGCACGAAAGCGUGGGGAGCAGACAGG